rnacentral:rRNA from 1 species
AAAGAUUAAGCCAUGCAUGUCUAAGUAUAAACGAUCUAAUCGUGAAACCGCGAAUGGCUCAUUAUAACAGCUAAAAUCUACUUGAUCUUGACACAAUCCUACUUGGAUAACUGUGGUAAUUCUAGAGCUAAUACAUGCAUUAAAGCUCUGACCUCACGGGAAGAGUGCACUUAUUAGAACAAAACCAAGCGGCUUCGGCUGUUUCUGGUUGACUCAUAGUAACUGAGCUGAUCGCACGGUCUUGCACCGGCGACGUGUCUUUCGAGUAUCUGCCGUAUCAACUUUCGAUGGUAGAGUAUCUGACUACCAUGGUGAUCACGCGUAACGGAGAAUAAGGGUUCGGCUCCGGAGAGUUCGCCUGAGAAAUCGCGAACACAUCUAAGGAAGGCAGCAGGCGCGAAAAUUACCCACUCUCAGCACGAGGAGGUAGUGACGAAAAAUAACGAGACCGUCCUCUUAUGAGGCCGGUCAUCGGAAUGGGUACAAUCUAAACCCUUUAACGAGUAUCUAUGAGAGGGCAAGUCUGGUGCCAGCAGCCGCGGUAAUUCCAGCUCUCAAAGUGCAUAGAAUUAUUGCUGCGGUUAAAAAGCUCGUAGUUGGAUCUGUGCCAUAGGACGUGGUCCACCUGCUGGGUGCGUACUAUGUUCCUAGGCUUUUUGCUGGUUUUCCCGUCGUAGCCUUAACUGGUCGCGGCGGGUGGCUGGCGAGUUUACUUUGAGAAAAUCAGAGUGCUCAACACAGGCGUAUCGCUUGAAUGAUUGUGCAUGGAAUAAUAGAAAAGGAUUUCGGUCCUCUUUUAUUGGUUUUGUGGACUGAGAUAAUGGUUAACAGGGACCAACGGGGGCAUUCGUAUCGCUGCGUGAGAGGUGAAAUUCUUGGACCGUAGCGAGACGCCCUACUGCGAAAGCAUUUGCCAAGAAUG